CCAAGAGGAUGCCACGUUAGAUCAAAACUCAAAUUCGCCUUUCUUCUCAGACUUCUCCUCUUCCAAAUUCUAAAUCCAUAUCAGUUAUGCUGACGUGAGUCACGUCUUCCUUCCUCUUUAAAUCCCUCAUCAGAAAACAAGGUUUCACGUUCUAAACACUCGAUUGAGCUCCACCAUAUCGGCUAUCAACAGCCACCUUUCCAUCACAGUUAUGUUAAGGCUUAUAAGAGGGUUGUCAUCGGGAUCGAUCUUUGGGUUUUAAAGCAAGGAGAAGAAGAGGGAUAGAAGAGAUUGGGGGAGAAGAAAAGUGUAAAUUUUUAGAGUUUAUAACUUUUUAGUGUGUCGCUUUCACGGACUUCUGAAGCGACAGCAUUCAUGGUGGCUUCGUUAGCCUUUGAAUCCCGUUAAUGAAAACACCCACUUUUUAAACUUAUGUCGUCAAUCUUAAGCCCACAUCUAAACAUCGUAACAGAUGUGGGACUAACUUUUCCAAUGUUAUUGUGACGUUUGAUAAUCCAAAUUUUCUAGAGACUAUGAUCAUGCAAUCUCGGGAUAUGCAUAGCGUUGAGGUUGGCGCAUCACCAACUCCCUUACUUCUUCAUGUAAGGUACAUGUUUGUCUUCUCUUCUCAUGUCUUUUACGUUAAAACCAGAAGACAUAAAAUAUCUGGUUCAUGCAUGGUUGAGGAUUCCACUUUACGCUCACAAGAGUUAAUUAGGUACAAAAGCUAACACAUGGGCUUCUUACUGUUUUCAUAUAUAUUAGUAACUAAACUACUAAGCAAAUUAAAUUCCCCACAUUUGAACAAAAUAGCAGUUGAAAAAAGCUUUUGGGAAUAGCCAAAGGUCCAUUCCCUAAAAAAAAAAUGCUACGCCAACAUUGUCCUCAUAUAAACUCUAUUUCAUUCAGUAUUUCUAUGUCCAUUUUAACUUUGCUGAAACAAUUUCAUUCAGUACGUAUUGUUAGAUCCACUUAAAUUUUUAUUCGAAUGAAUCUUAUCUUUUCUAAUGAUGGCUUAUGAUCUGGAUUUCCAAGCAGCAGAGUCUACUGUGCUAAGUCAUGUCAUGACUAAUAUGAAGCAUAACUCCAGACAUCUUGCUAUAACUAUUUCAGUCCGUUUCUUUAAUCAAGAUUGACUACAUUACGUAGUGACCAACUUUCAUCACUCUAUUUCCCAUAUUGUUUUUGGUUUGUAAUUAAGUUUGAAGCUCACAAGUUUACAACCUCUAUUUUUUGGGGUGUAUGUGCUAUUCAGAUUGAAAACUGUUGGGAAA